rnacentral:rRNA from 1 species
GACGAACGCUGGCGGCGUGCUUAACACAUGCAAGUCGAACGGUGAAGCGCUUGCCUUUUUGGUGGGUGUGGAUGAGUGGCGAACGGGUGAGUAACACGUGAGUAACCUGCCCUCUUCUUCUGGAUAACCUCAUGAAAGUGGGGCUAAUACGGGGUAUUCCGGGUCUGUCGCAUGGCGGGUUUGGGAAAGAUUGCGCCUUUGGGUGUUUUCGGUGGGGGGUGGGCUCGCGGCCUAUCAGCUUGUUGGUGGGGUGAUGGCCUACCAAGGCGGUGACGGGUAGCCGGCCUGAGAGGGUGGACGGCCACACUGGGACUGAGACACGGCCCAGACUCCUGCGGGAGGCAGCAGUGGGGAAUAGUGCACAAUGGGCGCAAGCCUGAUGCAGCGACGCCGCGUGAGGGACGGAGGCCUUCGGGUUGUGAACCUCUUUCGCCAGUGAAGCAGGCCUGCUCCUGUGUGGGUGGGUUGACGGUAGCUGGAUAAGAAGCGCCGGCUAACUACGUG